rnacentral:rRNA from 1 species
AGAGUUUGAUCCUGGCUCAGGAUGAACGCUGGCGGCGUGCCUAAUACAUGCAAGUCGAGCGGUAAGGCUCUGCACUUAUUAUUUGAACGGAUAAGUUCCUGCAAAGGAAUACUGUCUGACCACUCAGUUUACUGGCUAGUAAACAGAGGUCGAGUAAUGGGUGUAGAGUACACGAGCGGCGGACGGCUGAGUAACACGUAGGAACGUACCCCAAAGUGAGGGAUAAGCACCGGAAACGGUGUCUAAUACCGCAUGUGAUCCACGGAUUAAAGCUUUAUGCGCUUUGGGAACGGCCUGCGUCCGAUUAGCUUGUUGGUGAGGUAAUAGCUCACCAAGGCUACGAUCGGUAGCUGGUCUGAGAGGAUGAUCAGCCAGACUGGGACUGAGACACGGCCCAGACUCCUACGGGAGGCAGCAGUAGGGAAUUUUCCACAAUGGGGGCAACCCUGAUGGAGCAACGCCGCGUGCAGGAUGAAGGCUUUCGGGUCGUAAACUGCUUUUAUAUGUGACGAUUUUGACGGUAGCAUAUGAAUAAGGAUCGGCUAACUCCGUGCCAGCAGCCGCGGUCAUACGGAGGAUCCAAGCGUUAUCCGGAAUUACUGGGCGUAAAGAGUUGCGUAGGUGGCAGAGUAAGUAGGUAGUGAAAUCGUGUGGCUCAACCAUGCUCACAUUACCUAAACUGCUCAGCUAGAGGAUGAGAGAGGUCGUUGGAAUUCCUAGUGUAGGAGUGAAAUCCGUAGAUAUUAGGAGGAACACCGAUGGCGUAGGCAGACGACUGGCUCAUUCCUGACACUAAGGCACGAAAGCGUGGGUAGCAAACGGGAUUAGAUACCCCGGUAGUCCACGCCGUAAACUAUGGAUGCUAGCUGUUACGAGUAUCGACCCUUGUAGUAGCGAAGCUAACGCGUUAAGCAUCCCGCCUGUGGAGUACGGUCGCAAGACUAAAACUUAAAGGAAUUGACGG